rnacentral:rRNA from 1 species
GAGUUUGAUCCUGGCUCACCCCCCCACGCUGGCGGCAGGCCUAACACAUGCAAGUCGAGCGGAAACGAGUUAACUGAACCUUCGGGGAACGUUAACGGCGUCGAGCGGCGGACGGGUGAGUAAUGCCUGGGAAAUUGCCCUGAUGUGGGGGAUAACCAUUGGAAACGAUGGCUAAUACCGCAUAAUAGCUUCGGCUCAAAGAGGGGGACCUUCGGGCCUCUCGCGUCAGGAUAUGCCCAGGUGGGAUUAGCUAGUUGGUGAGGUAAUGGCUCACCAAGGCGACGAUCCCUAGCUGGUCUGAGAGGAUGAUCAGCCACACUGGAACUGAGACACGGUCCAGACUCCUACGGGAGGCAGCAGUGGGGAAUAUUGCACAAUGGGCGCAAGCCUGAUGCAGCCAUGCCGCGUGUAUGAAGAAGGCCUUCGGGUUGUAAAGUACUUUCAGCAGUGAGGAAGGUGGGUAUGUUAAUAGCAUACUCAUUUGACGUUAGCUGCAGAAGAAGCACCGGCUAACUCCGUGCCAGCAGCCGCGGUAAUACGGAGGGUGCGAGCGUUAAUCGGAAUUACUGGGCGUAAAGCGCAUGCAGGUGGUUUGUUAAGUCAGAUGUGAAAGCCCGGGGCUCAACCUCGGAAUUGCAUUUGAAACUGGCAAACUAGAGUACUGUAGAGGGGGGUAGAAUUUCAGGUGUAGCGGUGAAAUGCGCAGAGAUCUGAAGGAAUACCGGGGGCGAAGGCGGCCCCCUGGACAGAUACUGACACUCCCAUGCCAAAGGCCCGCCGGAGCAAACGGGAUU